rfam:Xenopus tropicalis strain Nigerian Chr02_contig_394, whole genome shotgun sequence.
UCCUCGUUAGUAUAGUGGUGAGUAUCCCCGCCUGUCACGCGGGAGACCGAGGUUCGAUUCCCCGACGGGGAG